GGGGAUGUCACGGAUUCGACAGGAUCAGUGUUUCAUUAAGUGCAGUGGGGUCUGCCCCUUAUAGCUCUAGGUUUAAUAAAUGCAGAAAAAAAUUCUAAACAAUUAAACAACUUUGAAAUCAACAGAAUGAUUUCACAAAACUUAGCUUACAAUUUUGCUUAAUUUUUAAUUAAAAUAAAUUGAUGUUUUUAAUUGAUUCAUUAAAAAUCAAUUAAUCUAUUAGUUUUAAAUUUUUUGUUAUUUUUAGUUUAAAAUGAUGGAUUUAAAAUUUUUAAAAAAAUAAAUAAACUGUAGAUCUUAAUGGUGUGUUGGUUUUGGAAAGGGGUUCGACUCCCCUCAUCUCCACCA
rnacentral:tmRNA from 1 species